rnacentral:rRNA from 1 species
AUUGAACGCUGGCGGCGUGCUUAACACAUGCAAGUCGAACGAUGAACCCGGAGCUUGCUCCGGCGGAUUAGUGGCGAACGGGUGAGUAACACGUGAGUAACCUGCCCUUGACUCUGGGAUAACUGCUAGAAAUGGUAGCUAAUACCGGAUACGACCCUCGGCGGCAUCGCCAGGGGGUGGAAAGAAUUUCGGUCAAGGAUGGACUCGCGGCCUAUCAGCUGGUUGGUGAGGUAACGGCUCACCAAGGCGACGACGGGUAGCCGGCCUGAGAGGGUGACCGGCCACACUGGGACUGAGACACGGCCCAGACUCCUACGGGAGGCAGCAGUGGGGAAUAUUGCACAAUGGGCGCAAGCCUGAUGCAGCAACGCCGCGUGAGGGAUGACGGCCUUCGGGUUGUAAACCUCUUUUAGUAGGGAAGAAGCGAAAGUGACGGUACCUGCAGAAAAAGCACCGGCUAACUACGUGCCAGCCGCCGCGGUAAAAC